rnacentral:rRNA from 1 species
GGGCUUGACAUCCCACGAACCUGCCCGAAAGGGUCGGGUGCCCGCAAGGGAGCGUGGAGACAGGUGGUGCAUGGCUGUCGUCAGCUCGUGUCGUGAGAUGUUGGGUUAAGUCCCGCAACGAGCGCAACCCUCACCCCUUGUUGCCACCGGGUCAUGCCGAGCACUCUAGGGGAACUGCCAGCGUCAAGCUGGAGGAAGGUGGGGAUGACGUCAAGUCAUCAUGCCCCUUACGCCCUGGGCAACACACGUGCUACAAUGGCUGGUACAAAGGGACGCAAGACCGCGAGGUGGAGCUAAUCCCAAAAAACCAGUCUAAGUUCAGAUUGCAGUCUGCAACUCGACUGCAUGAAGGAGGAAUCGCUAGUAAUCGCGCAUCAGCACGGCGCGGUGAAUACGUUCCCGGGCCUUGUACACACCGCCCGUCACACCACGAAAGCCGGCUGUACUCGAAGUCGCUGAGA